GCGCUGCCAUUUGCCAGAAGUCCAAGGGAGUCUGGGCAGCACAGGGAACACACAGUUAGUUGGUGCGCCCUUACCCCUUCUAACCACAGUAUGUCCAUUCAUGCAACAAAUGUCAACUCGGUUCCUCGUAGCCAAGCUGACUCCAAGAGGCUGAGAUGACUUCACCUCAGGUGGUUUACAGCAGGGGGAGAAAGGAGGAUCAUCUCAACGGUAGAGCACCGGAUGGAGGGGAGAGAAGACAUCAAGACACACGGACCUGUUGGGAGGCUCUGGCAACCAUGUAGGCAUGAAGCAAUGAGGACCUGAACUGGGGGUAGCAGAGGGGACAGAUAGAAGGGUUGGCUGUUGGAGCCAUUUGAGAACAAUGAAACCAUAGUGGUUUCCUUUAUUGUAGACCGUGUGGUUGAUAUUAUUUGCCCACAAUUGUUCCUGGCCUCCUCACAUUGCCGUGGCUUCCCUGUGGACAGGGCGUCGUUCUUGCUCGCCCACUGACCUGCUUUGGUCCUGGGUGCAUGAGUUGAGUUAACAUAUGCACCAUCCAACCACAAGCUCCAAGUGUGUGCAUGGCUGGGGCAACCCUCUUGGCUCCCACCCUGCAUCCCGAGAAGGCAAGCCCCAGGGGUAUCAAUGGCCUGGGAAUGAGGGAGUGGAGGAGCAAACUGAACCUGACCCAAAUUUCGGGACAAAGCUUCCCCAGCUGACCACAGACCAUUAGCGACAAAUAAAAGUUCGUUAUUUUAAGCCA